ensembl:miRNA
UAUUAGGUUGGUGCAAAAGUAAUUGCAGUUUCUGCCACUCCUUUUAAUGGCAAAAACUGCAUUUACUUUUGCACCAACCUAAUA